UACGGAGGGUGCAAGCGUUAUCCGGAUUUAUUGGGUUUAAAGGGUGUGUAGGCGGCAAUGUAAGUCAGUGGUGAAAUACAGCAGCUUAACUGUUGAAAUGCCAUUGAAACUGCUUUGCUAGAGUACAGUCGAAGUAAGUGGAAUUCCACAUGUAGUAGUGAAAUGCUUAGAUAUGUGGAGGAACACCGAUAACGAAAGUAGCUUACUAGGCUGUUACUGACGCUGAGGCACGAAAGCGUGGGGAGCGAACGGG
rnacentral:rRNA from 1 species